GAUUGUUUCAUGUGAGGGUUUACUUCAUGCUCCUUCCAUUGAUCUUUCUGUUUGCCUUAGGCUGUGAUUUCCUGUGGAACAGCUCGGUCUAGAUAAACUCUGCAUAACCUGCUUAUUUGGACAGAGGUGGAUUGAUAUUGUCCUUUUUCCAGGAGUCAAGACUAAAGAAUUACAGAAAUACUGCAGUGCUAUCAAGUGGAUCAUUUAAGUGAUCGUGGCAUGGAGGAAAGCAUCAGGGUUACAGACUGGAUUCCUGGAGCAGAUGAGUUGACCUUCAUAGUCAGACAACAGAACAAGCUGUCGAAGUCCAUGUAGCCAACUCUGCAGUCAAAAGCAAAGUGCUGGGACUCAGGAGGUCUCGCUUGUUAAUUUAACUGCAAGUAAAUGAAGAAAUGCUGUUGGCCGUGUUAAUCUCAGUGCAGGCCUGAGGGAUAACGGCAGAUGACUCAUGGACCAGACACCAGUGACAAUGCAUUACUCUGUGUCUGUUGGCCAGGUGCUACUGACUGAAAUCACUGGCUCUACCUCAGUUCACUGCAGCAAAGUGUCUGGUCUUGCUUGGAUUUGCUUGAGAAAUGACCUUUAUUGUUCUUAUCCUCAUUCUCACCUUAUGCAGUCUCUGUGCGUGUGUGCACCAAAGUCACCUCCCCUGCAAGGGUGGACAGAUUUAGGGAUGCUCAAAAUGGCACAGAGAUGUGUGGUUUGCUCUCCUGCUUUUGCUUAACUGGCCAGCAAGUAAAUUCAGAGUGAGUGGAUCAGCUCAGGAACAAAGAAGGACCCGAAGAGCUCAAAAUAACAGUAAGUACUACCAAAAUUAUUUUUCUUAAUAUGUAAAAAUAGCAAAUGCCCCAUUUUUUAACCUGGAGG
rnacentral:lncRNA from 1 species